UACGGAGGGUGCAAGCGUUAUCCGGAUUUACUGGGUUUAAAGGGUGCGUAGGUGGUCAGGUAAGUCAGUUGUGAAAUCUCCGGGCUUAACUCGGAAACUGCCAUUGAUACUAUUUGUCUUGAAUAUCCUAGAGGUAAGCGGAAUAUGUCAUGUAGCGGUGAAAUGCUUAGAUAUGACAUAGAACACCCAUUGCGAAGGCAGCUUACUACGGGAUUAUUGACACUGAGGCACGAAAGCGUGGGGAUCAAACAGG
rnacentral:rRNA from 1 species